rnacentral:lncRNA from 1 species
GGUUGGAGGUGAUUUGGUGGGCUGGAGGAAGGUGGCCACGGGUGAGGAGAGAGGGAAAAAGGGUUUGGGGGGUGCGGAGGCAGGAGGUGAGGGGGGGAGAGGUGGUCGGAGGUUGAUCCGGCCGGACAAUGGAAGAGAGGGAUGGCCGGAGACGGAGCCUGUCUCUCGCUUUCGGUUUCUCCCGCUCGCUCGCUCGCAGUUUCUCUCUCUG